rnacentral:rRNA from 1 species
AAUGAACGCUGGCGGCGCGCCUAAUACAUGCAAGUCGAGCGAGAAGACCGUAGCGAAUACGUUUGCAAAGCGGCGAACGGGUGAGGAAUACAUGGGUAACCGUACCCUCGAGUGGGGAAUAACUAGCCGAAAGGUUAGCUAAUACCGCGUACGCUCCUUGGACUUCGGUUCAGGGAGGAAAGCGAUACCGUGGGGUAUCGCGCUCUUGGUUGGGCUCAUGUCCUAUCAGCUUGUUGGUGAGGUAACGGCUCACCAAGGCUUCGACGGGUAGCUGGUCUGAGAGGACGAUCAGCCACACUGGCACUGCGACACGGGCCAGACUCCUACGGGAGGCAGCAGU